rnacentral:rRNA from 1 species
GACGAACGCUGGCGGCGUGCUUAACACAUGCAAGUCGAACGGAAAGGCUCCAGCUUGCUGGAGUACUCGAGUGGCGAACGGGUGAGUAACACGUGGGUAAUCUGCCCUGCACUCUGGGAUAAGCCUGGGAAACUGGGUCUAAUACUGGAUAUGACCUUUCUCCUUAUGGGGUUUGGUGGAAAGUUUUUCGGUGUAGGAUGAGCCCGCGGCCUAUCAGCUUGUUGGUGGGGUGAUGGCCUACCAAGGCGACGACGGGUAACCGGCCUGAGAGGGUGAUCGGCCACAUUGGGACUGAGAUACGGCCCAGACUCCUACGGGAGGCAGCAGUGGGGAAUAUUGCACAAUGGGCGGAAGCCUGAUGCAGCGACGCCGCGUGAGGGAUGACGGCCUUCGGGUUGUAAACCUCUUUCAGCAGGGACGAAGCGUAAGUGACGGUACCUGCAGAAGAAGCACCGGCUAACUAUGUG